rnacentral:ncRNA from 1 species
ACAAAAGCGUUGAUGAGGAGGAGUACAUGUUCUUCCGGAUGAACAGAGAGAAGAUGGCUGGUGAAAAUCUUCGUGAAGGGAACAUGGAAGUAGCCUUUGAGCUUUGGAUUGAACGGGAUCGGGCAGGCAGUGAUACGCCGGGCAGGAUUCCAAGUAGACUCCAACGGAGAUUUCCACCGUUAUCAGGGAAAGCGAUAUCGGAAGCCGGAACGGUUUUCCCGUAUUGUACAAAGUGCAGAAGUCUCUUCUGAAUUUAGGUGGUACCACGGACUAUAGUUCGCCCUAAGC